UUGGACAAUGGGUGGAAGCCUGAUCCAGCCUCCCGCGUGUAGGAUGACGGCCUUAUGGGUUGUAAACUACUUUUAUCUAGGGGAUAAACCUACUUACGUGUAAGUAGCUGAAGGUACCAGAAGAAUAAGCACCGGCUAACUCCGUGCCAGCAGCCGCGGUAAUAU
rnacentral:rRNA from 1 species